rnacentral:lncRNA from 1 species
GCUCGAGGCCACAUUUUGACUCGAAGUUCAGAAGAGUACGCAAUUAGUUAAUGCAACAAAACUUCGCUUUCUUAAAACUUUUUCGAAAUAAAAUCGGUGUGCCUUGCAGAGAAAAAGGUCAGUAUUAAAUUUAGCUAUUUUUUUAACGUUUUUGAGUUGUUCUUGUUAAGAUAUUGCUGUUUUUGAAACACGUGUGUAUAUAUAUUCAUUGUAUUAAUUUGAAUUGAAUUUGAUUCCAUUCAAGCGCUUCGACCUUCGUUAUCGCGCUUUGUCGCUUUAUUUCCUUAGUAUUCCUCCCUCAUUUUGUAGCAGUAAUGUUCAGAAAUACGCCAGUUUUGAUUUAUGUAACUCAUAUUUACUUUAUCUGCGAUUUCAGGGCGAAAAUUUGAAGAAAAAGUGAACCAAUUUAAGUCGCAGACAUGGUCGAAAAGGCGAAGUACUUAGCACUUGGUAAGCAUAAUUUCCACUAAAGGCGUUUCAGUCCUUGUUUUUUAUCGUUUUUAAGCUUCCCUUAUACAGCUAGAACGUCUUCUAGUAAAGCCUUGUAGCUUUAUGAACACUCUCUGUCAAAUUUAGCUUAAAUUUUGUUGAAAAUUUUGUCCGUAAGAGCGAAAUGCAGACUCAUUUUAGACAUGUUCAAUUCGACGAGGUUUUUGAGCUUGUCUAAGUUGAAUCUAAAUCCAAAUCUUUUGAAGCAGUUCAGAGAUGAAAUGUCCUCGUGGUUCAUCCCCUAAUCAGUAUCGACCUACAUGCACGCAUUCUUUAAAAUUAAAAUAAAUUGAAUUGGACAACCACAUCCUGUGUAAACGACAUUAAAUAACUCUUUACUGUUUUUAAACUAAAAAUUCAUUAUCCAAUUUUUUUAAGUUGCCUCAAGUUCAAUCAUUCUGACGGCAAACAGUACAGAAAGACCUCUGCACAGAUUCGAGGAGACGCUCGCCUAGUAGUUGAAGCCAAACGAGAAGGCAAAGGCCAAAAAUACAACUUGAUACCAUAGUCUGACAGUAAGGGAACGCUCGAAAGCAUAUACACCCAUCAUCGGAUUUUGCUCAGUCAGCCAAUUGUGAAAGGGUAUCAAGACCUGUCAAGCCACGACGCCGUACCAUCCAAAAACCAAAACCAACGCGCCACACCAACCAGCCAAUGAAAUAGCCGUGAAAGAUGCUGUACAUUACAGAAGGUAUAUUGUUCUCGUGAUUCUCGUUCGUCGUGUUCGAAAGUACGUGGGGACCACCCUGAGGACGCCCAAAUGCACAAAACAAAUUUAAAUGUGGCACUUUUCACCUUAAUUUCGCAAUUUAUUCAAAUUUUUGACAUUUUCUGGUGUUUGUGAAAAGCUAUUAACGAAAUCGAAAUGUUUGAAAUUCGGACGGUUCUGUCUGGGAGUUUGUUUAUUUGAAAGAUACUUGAAAUGAAAUUUUGAAAUUUACAUCACUUUGGUAUUUGGUUUAAACGCUAGGUAAAAUCAUGCCAGAUGAGUGGUCGACCAUUCGUCGGCGUUCGGUGAUACUUCUGCUCGGACCUUCCCGACCUACAGUCGAGUUGCCCUGAUCGAUAUCGAUUGUCGUGAUCAACUAGCACAGGUGCAAGGUCUGGCCAACCUUACAUCAGUGCUUUUUGUUCGUGGCAUGAGAUUGGGACAGCUCGCCUGUAGGCCUGGAAAGAUCAAGCCGAAGUACGACCAAACUUUGAUUUGUGGCCGACUUUUUGUAUGUAUGGCUUUAUCCAGCGUUUUCCCCGUUACCAUCUUGAUGUAGACUUUGGGAUUUUGGCUUGAAUAUCUUUAAUAUAAACAUUCUUUGAGCUUUAAUCUUUCAAGAAUUUCAUGGCUUUUGACUAGUUAAUGUGUUGCUCGCAGAUACUAUAAUUGUAUUAAAAAUAUUGACCAAAAAAAUUUAAAACUGGCCAAAACGUCAUUUGAGGUGUCGGAUGGGAGGUCCAGUGGGAGUCGUAGCGGAUACCAAUGGAUAAAUAUGGAUUACUUUGACACUGUGUACUAUUGGAGAUAUUGUGAACAUUUAUGGAUAAUUGGGAACAUUGAUGGAUUACAACAAACACUUAUGGAUUAUUAUGAACAUUUGUGGAUAAAAUGUACCUCUUGCGAUCGAUGGUUACCUACUAAUGUACCUUGACAACGAAAGCUGUACGACGGCAACGAGAUGACUGCCUCAAGGUUAGAGUGUUUAGUCUGGUAACAAGCAGUUGUUAGCUUGUUAUCAGGCAGUAGUUAGCCUGCUAACAGGCAGUAUAUCUGUAGGAUUCAUACCCAGGACUCUAAUUUGCAUGUGGUCGAUGAAAUCUCUGGGUUAACCGGUUUAAAAUUCCUGGCGGUCUGUCGCUAGUAGUACAUUUGCACGCAAGGUUGAUUUUUAUUCGGAUGCUUGCAUGCUAAUAAAAAUUGUGGUACAAUUUUUGACCUCGGUUAAUAAGAAUUUCGACAUUAUCUGAAUCGAAAGUCAAUCUUAGGUGCUGAUUACAUGGUGCCGAGCUGGCCCGGUUAACCGGAC